rnacentral:lncRNA from 1 species
AACAAAAUGACAUUGAUUCUUCCAGCUUUGUUUCCCAGCAGAUGGAUUAAAGAGAAAAUAAAUCUAUAUUUAUAAACAUAGCCACAAAACUCACAUUAGGUUUUAAAAGUAAAGCAUCUCCUCUUCCUGAGACCCCAGCCAGAGCUGUUUCUAAGCUAUUACAUUUUAUUUCAUUACUACAGGCAACAGGAAAGCAUCUAGAAGUUCUCUAUGUUCUUCUCCAGACACCAGGGGGGAUAAAAAGCGCAGAAUUUGCACUCACCUUGAUAGAAACAAACGAAGACUAAUUGGUAAGUACCUACCAAGUAGCAAACCAUGGAAAACCAAAGCAGGCUCUAUUGAAAACACAUCAUGCCAUACAGGUUGAAUUCCCUUUGACAGGGUAACUGCAGGGAGAAACUGAUGACACAAACUGGAAUCUCUGACAUGUUUGAUCGGAGUAUCCAAUGGCUGGGCAGCGAGUUGUCUUUACUGCACUGGCUUUAUUCGUUUGGAGAAUGAAUUGCUGGACUACACAAGUCCGAGGGAUCUUUGGGAAUACUUCCAGCUCACGUGUAAUGGGACAAAGAAAAGGUUUUUCUAGUGAUUCCGCUCAUUUCUUGAAGAACAAGUUGAGGCUUCCUUAGAGCACUGAAGUCCAACAGUGGAAGAACAGCAUGACAUGGACCACAGCCCUGUGACAUUACAAGCGUGUAUUACAGCUGCCAGAUGGGCUCAGCUGACUCAUGCUCAGGAUCACUCCGACCAGCAGAUGUGAGGGUAACUUGCACAGAAGACAAGGGAAAUCACACUCGAGAACACAAGUGGUUCCACAGUUGCACGAGAACGGUUUUCCCCAUGCGCUUGAGGACUGACAUGUAAGGAAGUUUGAAAGAUUUACAGGAGAGGUGGCAGAUCCUGUGAACUCAAGCGUGAUCUACACCUGAAAAGUGAGAUUUAAAAAGACAACAUUUGAGUAAAGGGAAAUUGGUAUCUCAUGAAAGAAGACAAAAGCUAAAGAAGGAUCAAACUUAAGAAGAUACACAUGCGUAUUACAAAUAAGAUCGUAUUAUAAACCCUACAAAAGUUGAAGUAUAAGAAGUUGAGUACUUGGCUAAGUUCUGAUGAAGGAAAAUUGUUCAAUUUCAGUGCAGUAAUAUUCCCACGUUCUCCUACACAUAUAAUUAAGAGGGAAAAAAAGGGGAAAAAUAACUGCACUGGAAGCAAGAGUAAUAAGGAAGGUUGUUAAGCAUCACCUACAGAGAUAGAUAGUCAGAGGUCAAAGCAGCAGCAUCUCAGGAAGGUAUUACCACCAUAUUUCCUAGCUACUGAUGUUCAUUUAGAUUCAGACCGUUUUGCUAACUCUGAAGAAAUCCAGAUUCUGCCUCCUCUCCUUCUGUGACUCUGUCUUCUCUCAAACAUCUACAGUGUCCUUCAGUUGACUGCUUGCUUCUCAUUGCCCUUCAUUGCCUUUCAUGCAAUCCAACCCAAACACCACAAUGACUUCUAGGCAUGAAGAAUAAAC